GACGAACGCUGGCGGCGUGCCUAAUACAUGCAAGUUGAGCGCUGAAGGUUGGUACUUGUACCAACUGGAUGAGCAGCGAACGGGUGAGUAACGCGUGGGGAAUCUGCCUUUGAGCGGGGGACAACAUUUGGAAACGAAUGCUAAUACCGCAUAAAAACUUUAAACACAAGUUUUAAGUUUGAAAGAUGCAAUUGCAUCACUCAAAGAUGAUCCCGCGUUGUAUUAGCUAGUUGGUGAGGUAAAGGCUCACCAAGGCGAUGAUACAUAGCCGACCUGAGAGGGUGAUCGGUCACAUUGGGACUGAGACACGGCCCAAACUCCUACGGGAGGCAGCAGUAGGGAAUCUUCGGCAAUGGACGAAAGUCUGACCGAGCAACGCCGCGUGAGUGAAGAAGGUUUUCGGAUCGUAAAACUCUGUUGGUAGAGAAGAACGUUGGUGAGAGUGGAAAGCUCAUCAAGUGACGGUAACUACCCAGAAAGGGACGGCUAACAACGUG
rnacentral:rRNA from 1 species